ensembl:snoRNA U3 Small nucleolar RNA U3
AAGACUAUACUUUCAGGGAUCAUUUCUAUAGUUCGUUACUAAAAUACCAAAACUAUUUGGAACGUGUAGACCAAGAUUCAGCCUGUAACCCAUUGGCACUUCGGGGUUUUGGU